rnacentral:misc_RNA from 1 species
UGGUUCUGGCAUCGAUGAAGAACGCAGCGAAAUGCGAUAAGUAAUGUGAAUUGCAGAAUUCAGUGAAUCAUCGAAUCUUUGAACGCACAUUGCGCCCCCUGGUAUUCCGGGGGGCAUGCCUGUUCGAGCGUCAUUACAACCCUCAAGCUCUGCUUGGUGUUGGGCCCCGCCGCCCCGGCGGGCCCUAAAAUCAGUGGCGGUGCCGUCCGGCUCCGAGCGUAGUAAUUCUUCUCGCUCUGGAGGCCCGGGUGCGUGCUCGCCAGCAACCCCCAAUUUUUUCAGGUUGACCUCGGAUCAGGUAGGGAUACCCGCUGA